GGAAGAGAAUCAUCGACGCCGUCAUUGAUAUUUCGAUUUCCACGGAUAACCCUAUGAGUAAAGACAGGUUCUAGAGGCAAUGGUACAACCUCCACAAUGACAAAUUAAGAGCAACAACAAAACUUACAAAGAUGGGAAGAUUACCGAAGAUACCAAACCUGUAGUAAUUGGCGACAUAACUUAAAAAUACGGACAGCCUCUCGACCAAGAAAGUCGAUAUAAGAUAUUUCGGAAGCAUGCUGUUUUGUUUUCCUUUUCCGGAGCAAAGAUACAACCUCUGUUACCGACAUUCCGGGUCAGGCUUCAAACUUACCAACCUCCCGAAACCCACAACACAAGGAUACCCAUAAACCAACAGGGCCAGUAGAUUAAGCACAUGAAACAUGACUCAUACACACACUCAGCGUACCAUACAAUGUAAACCACACGUGCGCGUGAACGUGAGGACUACCCAUUCAUCACUCUCUCUUUUUUCUUUUUUUUUCGUUUUCGGUCGAAGACCCAUUCAUCAGUUUAACAAGUAGAUAGGGGUGCAAAUGUUACAGGCCAACCACGUGCAAACUCCAAGGAACAAAAGAAACACAAACGAGACUGCAGAAAGAAGCUAAAACAACCCCAAGGAAGACAACCCCGAACGUCGAAUCUCACCUCUGCGUUCUCCCUCGUUCGGUGCUGCAUUAUCGCGGGCAAAAACAUCAAG